CCUUCCUUCCCUCCUUCCUUCCUUCCUUUCUUUUUGUCUUUUUAGGGCCAUAUCUGCGGCAUAUGGAAGUUCCCACACUAGGGGUCUCAGAAAUGCUGGAUCCUUAACCCACUGAGUGAGGCCAGAGAUCAAAUCCGAGUCCUCAUGGAUACUAGUCAGAUUCAUUACUGCUGAGCCACAAUGGGAACUCUCUUCUUUUUUUUCUUUUUAGGACCACACCUGCAGCAUAUGGAAGUUCCAGGGCUAGGGGCUGAAUCAGAGCUCUAGCUGCCAGCCUAUGCCACAGCCACAGCAACGCCAGAUCCGAGGGGCACCUGUGACCUACACUGAAGCUUGUGGUAACAUGGUAUUUUCAACCCACUGAGUCAGGCCAGGGAUUGAACCCACAUCCUCAUGGAUACUAGUCAGGUUCUUAACCCACUGAGCCACAAUGGGAACUCCAGAAGGAUGCCUUGGGACCUAUCACUGCCAUUCCAGAAAUAUCCAGACUGAAACGCUCUUCCUCUUGUAAUGAACAAGGGAGAGGCUUCUUACAUUUCUAAACUCCUGCCAUUUCCAGGUCGAACAUAAAGUUUGGUUGUGCCCGGAAGGUGGCAGCCAUCUGGGCACCAGUGAAACUGACUUCGCCCAAGACUGAGAGUGGAUUUUUUUCCCCAGCUCUGAAAUAUCAGACCCAAUGGUUAUGCACACAGCGGAUCCAAUUUCCCACAACUGUGCCUACGCAAGUGUGAUUUCCACAUCUUCGCACACAAUCUCACAAGGGUUGCAGACACCAAGACGCCAGAGGGGCUAGUACCUGGGAACUGGGAAAUCAGGGAAAGUCAACUAUCUCCAUAACGAAAUUCCUGCAGAGGAAGGAAGUCGAAGUUUCCAGUCUUAUAAGGACCAAUAACAUAAUUGGGGUUUUUUUCCUGUAAAUGUAGGCAAUUAUUUCCAAAUCGAUUUAUUCCAAAGUGCCUCUGACAUUGGAAUCUUUCUUCUUAAGGCUGUUAUAUACUGAGACUUGGGAUCCAAAUCUCCUUUCAGUUUUAGCUAAGGUCUGAUGAGAAUCAUUCAGCUUGGGCAGGUGGGUGGGUGGGGUGGAUAUAGGAUGAGAAGCCAGGAAUAACUGAACCUAAGGUUCCCAUUGCUCUCCACACAUCUGUCCAGAUGGGCCUCAAAUACAUAAGAUGAAAACUGCCAAUGCUCUGCAAAUUUUGUUAGUUGUUUUUAGCUCAGAUGUUUCCAUAUGAAUUUGGCUCCAAGUCGUAGGAAACUGGAUCCAUGGGGUACUUGACAGGCGCCCAGAAAUUAGUGCCGAAAAGUAGAGCGUCGCUCAUUCAGUCCCUUUUGCAGAGGCCACGGCAAUGGCUGAGAUGAGCCCCUCUGUCUUUUUAGUCAGAGAAAUUUCAGAGGGGAGAAGCUGCAAGAUUUACAGCCACAUUCACAAUUUGCGAAGUGUGGCUUGACUUUGAAGUUUGAGAACAGACAUUGAGAAGGUGCGAGUUUCCAUGAGGUCAGGGGCUCCUACCCUCAUGUUAAGGUCAGAAGCCUGUGAUCGAGCCCUGAAAAGGCAGCUAUUGACUGUUCUAGGCAUCAAACUCACGUCUGUCGUGCUGCUUUCAAUGUGCCAAGUGCAGUUUUUUCUCUCUUUGCCAUGAAUUAUCUGUAUGGUUUGCUCCAUUAUUUCCUUCAAGAAUCCACUCAAAUAUCACUUUAUCAGAGAGGCUUUCCUGGACCCCAGCACAUAAAAUAGCCAACACGCCCAUUGUCCAGUCUUUUACCCCAGAACAUGCUUCCCCAUCCUGAGUUUUAUUUUCUUUCGCACUACUUUUGUUUAUCUUGCAUUUCUAGACCCCAUAGCAGUAUUUCUAGACCCUGUAACAGUAACUAACAUUGCAAUAGGUAUUCAGUACAUGUUUAUCGAAUGAUUCAGGUGACUCGAUGGCUAGAUUGGAAGGGGAUGCCCAAAAUGUGGGAAACACAUCUUACAGAAGCCAAAAUUUUAUGAUGGUUUUAUGAAUGUUUAAGAAACAUGUGAGGAAUCUUUCUUGAAAAAUGGCAGAUAAAACAAGAAGCAUUUACAUUUUACUGGGGAAAGUAUUACUCUAGUGGCUUCAUCUAGUUUAGUGCUAAAAAAUAUUGACAAUCUGAGCGAAGCUGUGGUCCUUCACUACCUUCGUCUUCUAUCUCAUUAGAAAUCAGAAGUUUAACGAGGUUUUUUUGUUUUGUUUUUUUUUGUCUUUUUUAGGGUCGCACCUGCGGCACAUGGAGGUUCCCAGGCUAGGGGUCCAAUCGGAGCUGUAGCCACCAGCCUACGCCAGAGCCACAGCAACACAGGAUCUGAGCCACAUCUGCGACCUGCACCACAGCUCACAGCAACACUGGAUCCUUAACCCACUGUGCGAGGCCAGGGAUCGAACCCGCCACCUCAUGGUUCCUAGUCG
rnacentral:lncRNA from 1 species